AAAAAGACAAACCGUGGGUUUCCGUGCCAACGUUUGACUGUCCGUCUUAUAUGAAAAAAUUUUAUAAUUAGUAUUUUCAUUGUUGUUAGAUGAUAAAACAUGAUUAAUACUUUAUGCUUGACUUAUCUUUUUAAUUUUUUCAAAUAAGACGGACAGUCAAACGUUGAACACGGAAAUCAGGGUUUAUCUUUUU
rnacentral:pre_miRNA from 1 species